UUUCGUAGUGCACUCUCUAGUCUCUCCACACACCACAGUCGAGCGAGCACUCCUCUCCAUGGCCCACGGCGAGGGACGACGCCAGCAUUUCCUGGUGGUGGCCCUCGGCGUCCAAAGCCACGUCAACCCGGGGCGCGCCCUCGCCCACCGCCUCGCACGGCUACGCGCCGACGGCUCCAUCACGGCCACGCUCUCCGUGCCGGUAACCACCUACCGGCGCAUGUUCCCUCGGUCGGCGGAUUCCGCGCCAGCGACGGCGGAGACCAGCGACGGGGUCAUCUCGUACGUGGCGCACUCAGACGGCCUCGAUCGACGACGGCUCGUCGUCGUCCUGGGCCGCGGACGCCGAGGACAGGGCGCGCAGGCGCCGCGCGAGCGCCGACAGCCUCUCCGCCGUGGCCGCUCGCCUGGCCGGCCGCGGCCGCCCGGUGACGUGCAUCGCGUGCACGAUGGUGUCGCCUCCGGCGCUCGACGUCGCGCGGGAGCACGCCAUCCCUCUCGCCGUCUUCUGGCUCCAGCCGGCCACCGUCCUCGCCCUCUGCUACCACUACUUCCACGGCCACGGCGCGAGCGUGGCCGCCCACGCCGCGGACCCGGCGCACGAGGUGCGCGUGCCCGGGCUGCGCCGCCCCCUCCGCAUGCGCUGCCUCCCGUCGUUCCUCACCGACACGUCGGGCAGCGACAGGGCCACGGCCCUCACCGACGUGUUCCGAGAGCUGUUCGAGUUCUUGGACCGCUGGCGGCCCACGGUGCUGGUCAACACGUUCGACGAGCUGGAGCCGGACGCGCUCGCGGAGGUGAGGCGCCACCUGGACGUGGUCGCCGUUGGCCCCAUGGUCGGGCCCGCCACGGACGCCCGCAUCCACCUGUUCGACCACGACGACGACGCCGGCAAGAAGAGGUACACGGAGUGGCUUCACGCUCACCCGGACGGCUCGGUGGUGUACGCGUCGUUCGGGAGCGUCACGAAGCUCGCCAAGCGGCAGAUGCAGGAGAUCGCCGGAGGGUUGCGCCAGUGCGGGCGGCCGUACUUGCUGGUCGUGCGCAGGGACGGGGUCGACGACGACGAAGGCGGCAUCCAUGGCCUGGAGAACGACACCGAGAUGCAGGGGAUGGUCGUGGACUGGUGCGACCAGCUGGAGGUGCUGUCGCACCCGGCGGUCGGCUGCUUCGUCUCGCAUUGCGGGUGGAACUCGGCGACGGAGGCCAUGGCGUCCGGCGUGCCCAUCGUCGGUGUGCCCAACAUGUUCGACCAGCCGACGAACAUGUACUUGGUCGAGGAAGAGUGGGGGGUCGGCGUCAGAGGAGAGCGAGACGCCGAUGGCGUGCUGACAGGGGCGGAGCUGGCAAGGUGCAUUGAGCUGGUCAUGGGUGAUGGCGCAGGAGCAGUGGCGAUCAGGGAAAGGGCAAAGGCCUUGCAAGAGACAGCGCAGGCGGCGGCCAGUGCAGCAGGCGGGCCCGCCGAGACAAACCUUUGUCACCUCGUCAAGACGAUGUCAAAAUAAUUAUCAAAGCUGUCGUAGAAAA